UGUUUGUCGUUUAUGCACGUGC
rnacentral:siRNA from 1 species